AUUGAACGCUGGCGGCAUGCCUUACACAUGCAAGUCGAACGGCAGCACGGGAGCAAUCCUGGUGGCGAGUGGCGAACGGGUGAGUAAUAUAUCGGAACGUGCCCAGUCGUGGGGAUAACGUAGCGAAAGCUACGCUAAUACCGCAUACGAUCUAUGGAUGAAAGCGGGGGAUCGCAAGACCUCGCGCGAUUGGAGCGGCCGAUAUCAGAUUAGGUAGUUGGUGAGGUAAAGGCUCACCAAGCCGACGAUCUGUAGCUGGUCUGAGAGGACGACCAGCCACACUGGGACUGAGACACGGCCCAGACUCCUACGGGAGGCAGCAGUGGGGAAUUUUGGGCAAUGGGCGAAAGCCUGACCCAGCAACACCGCGUGAAGGACG
rnacentral:rRNA from 1 species